AAACAGCUGAGAAUGAGAUCUUCCAGUAGACAGUAUAGAACGAAAAGAAAAGGCAGCCUGCUCUCUUCUUGAAACUCAUCUGUUGAACUCUGGGAGACUACCCCAUCCUAGUUCUGUACCUGCCUCCCUACUUCUGCAUUUCAACUGUUGCUGAUCCACAAGGAUUGGACCUUCCCCCCAACCCCUUGGAGAACUUAUCUGAUGACUCAGGGUACAGGUCGCUCUGGAGCUCCAGCCCUAGGAACCCUUCUCCAGAUUGUAGAGAGAAGGAGGCAGCACAGUGUAGUGGAAAGAUCAUGGCCCACUGAAUCAGGGAGAUGUGCGCCUCAUCACCUGGGGGAAAAAACUCCAAUCUAAGCAUCCUGGUCUUCAACUGUAAGAUGACUGCCGAGCUAUGAAGUUGUUCAGAGAAUUCAAGAGGUAAAAUGUGUGACAUGUCCAAAGAGUUUUUGUUUGACAUCAAGUAGAGUCUUAAAAUUUGUUCCCUCCCCUCUGCCAUUACCUACCCGUGAGCUGAUUCAGUGCUAACAACUCCAUCGGAUAUGCCUCGGAGAGUUCCUGUUUUCACCUAUGCAGUCACAGAGGCACAGAGAGGUUCCGUAACUGAUCUGAGGUCCCACAGCAGAUGGGGAGGGGUGCAGGGCAUAGUCUGGGAAGGAAGAUGACAUGAGGGAUGCUGCUUGGGUUGAGCGGGUGUCUGGCUGGGAAUGAACCCACUCAGGUGUAUAGGCCCCACCCCUGCUCCCUCCCCAGGACAGGUCUUCUCUGUCCUAACUGCUAAUUGCAGGGUGAAGGCCAGGAACUUCAUCUGGCAAACCUGGAGUUCGAGGCUGUCAGAAGAGAGGCACCACUCCCUUGUGCCUCUCAGGUGAGCCCUACCCAUCGUGCCAGGCUUCUUUUCAUCAGACAUGUUGAAGUAUCUGAUAUGUGUGCAAGGGGCGUCAUUCUAGGUGCUGAGGAGAAGAAAGCACAAUACACGGAACUCUCACAUUUGUGGAGCUUUCAUUCCUGGCAGAGAAGAGGGCCCAAGCCCCCUUCAGUGAGGAAAAGCGGUGGAGUGACACAUAGGGUUGAGUCCUCUGGAGACAAAACUCCAACAGGAGAAGGGCCAUGGGAAGUGUGGUAAGGUAGUUUUGUGGGUAAAUUUACAGCUAGACCCAUCGCUGUGUUUUCUAGUACCCCCAAACCCGCUUUUUGGCAGAUGACCCAAAUAUUUCUUCCCCUUUCUCCCCAGAACCCUCAGUGUAUGACUCUCCACUGUAGUAAUCAUUUGUGAUCUUUUUCCCCUUGGAAAAUGGAAUGCAUAAAGCUGGAGGGAAGCUGAGGUCCCUUUCACCUCCUCACCUGCUUUCCUGGGCUGUCCCAUCCAUCUCUCAGAGACGUGCAGCCCCAGGCAGUCAGACCGCAUGUGGGGGAUCGGUCUCUGAUCCUGGGGCCUCACUUUGUAAGGAGGGAGUGCCUCUGGAGGGAGCAGGAGGGCUAUGGUACCUUCAAGGGACCAGGAAACUCCCUCACAGAUGCUCAGCGACCCCAGCCUUGUUAGACCUGAGUGGACUUCCUGUGGAUGUGGACUUGCACAUGUCUUGUGUGCCAGACCAACAAACAGAAAUACAACCAUGUGAAGAGGUACUCGGGAGAGAGACUGGACACCAGCAAGAACAUCUUAGGCCAGAUCUAACAAUGCAGGGGGGCCUCUGCCUGGCCUGAGCUCUAAGUAGGUGGAAACCCAGACAGGAUGUACUGUCUCUUGGAAAGGUUGUAGAGAGGACUCAGGUGGUUUGACCUGAAAUUUAUGAUUCUGUGAUUCUAAUGGGAUGCCUGAGGGCAGGUGAUGAGAAUAAAAAAAGCUGGAACCUCGUCCUUGGACCUUCUUGGGAAUGGGCCCCAGGAUGUUCCGGUUGUUUCUGCUGGGCGUAUUCACGGUGCUCUUCAUGAAUGAGGGAGACAGAGUCCUGACAUGGAAAUGUAUGGUGUAGUUCGUUUGCAAUUCUUGGAUAAAUAAUGCCACAAUGAGAGGGGACAUUUUUGAGUCCAUUACACAUUGUCUGUCUACUCCCCCUGACUGAUACCUCACUCUCCUCCCUCACUGUUCUAAUGUCUUCUUUUAGCCCCCAGUCUUGGGUGUGAAGGGGGCCCUUGGCUUCCUGAAGGGAGUCAUGAUUCCUGGUGGAAGCCAGGGAGGGUGUCAGCAUCCUUCUUGUGAGUUUUGUGCCACCUGAGUGUAGAUGGUUACAGGUGGGGGCUGCUUCUGCAGCAGAAUCCCUCUCCCGAGAGCUCUGCAUCUAAGUUUUCCUCUUUCUUUAGGGUUUCGAUUUUGCAAUGCAUGUGAUUUCUAUGAUGGAUUCACUUGCCUCAAGCCACAAAAGUCUUGCUCGAAACUUAAUCUUUUCUCCCCGACGAGUUGUACCACAGACCACUUUUACUUUUAUCAUCGUCGUACAGGGAGAUAUUUCUACCGUUACUCAAAACUAUCUUGUAGGCCUUGUGAAGCAGGAAUGUUCCAAUUAUUUCAUGACUUACUAAGAGAAACACAUUGCUGCCUUAAGGACAAGUGUAAUGAUGUUGAAAAGACUUUGGAUGUUUUUAAAUCCCCUAGAUAACAAUACAAAGAAAGUAUACACAAAGACAGAAAAUAAAAUAAGAUUUUGAAACCAUUCUCUCCCAGU